ensembl:lncRNA
UACAUAUGCUGAGCUGAUGCUUCAAAUUGUCCUCAAGUUUCCUGUUUCUGUUUCAUUCUCCAGGUUCAGUAGAGCCUUUCCAGCCCGAUGCUCCAGGAUGGAAAAGAGAGACAGUGGGUAGACUUUGUCGAAGCGGUAGCCUUGGCGCGGACCCAGAUAUUUUAAAAGCAGCUAACCUCAGUGAUUCUGACAGAGGUUUGCCCAAAGCCAACCGCUUGCUGUCUGGUAACCCCAGUGUAGAGCGCACCUUUUCAGUUCCUUCCAAUCCACCCCCCCCCGGGUCUUUUCUGCUGCCCUCCUACCCUCUGGCCACUCUUCCGGGAGUGCAGCUGACUCCCACCCUGCCUCGUAGAUGCCAUGCAAACUCCUCACUGUCCAUGUCCAAUACAUGGCCCAACAAGCGAGAUACGAUCCCUCGUCACAGGGACCCCAGCUCAUGGGCGGACGAAACAGGUGAAGUUGGAUCCAACAGGUGUUCCCCACUGCCUGCGUGUACUUUGUGGGCGAGCACCAUCUCAUCACCAUCUCAUCAUCCACCCACCUCCCCAGUCAUACGGCAAUCCUCGCAGGAUACCUUGCAGCAAGAGCUGCCUGGUAGGAAUUCCCACCAAGAUGAGGAGCCAGUGGACAGGGAGGAGAUGAUGAACUCCCUUCGCUGCUUGCGUAAUCAUGCGGCUAAGAAGCGAGCCAAGGUAAGCGCGAGUGGCUCUGACCCAGAACCCGACAGCCCGGACUCUGCUGUGAAGCUGGAGCCGAGUACAGACUCCCCCUCUCACACCUCACCAUCUUUGACCAGCCCUCUGAGCGAGAGCAGCCUGUCCAGCCUCUAUUCACCCCCAACUUCCACCAUCACCAAUGGCACCAAGAUCAGGUAGAUGACUGGUCUUGCUCUUACAUACAUAUAUGAAUUAAUCUAUG